AAGGAGAGUUCCAUGUGGGCAGACAACAUGGCAAAAACAGUUGGUUCUUCCCAUCCUGAGGGAGGCAGAAGAGUGAGCCAGCUGCAGGAGAGUCAAAAACACCAGGAAACAUGAGCUGUCCCCGGAGCACUGCAGAGCAAAGUCCACACACUCAACAACUGUGAAGUCUCUAAGAACAGCUCUGAAGGGGACCCGAGCGCAUCAGUGCAGGAAACAGAGAAGGCAACUUCCUGGAAAAGACAGAGAUGCACCAAGAGGAGGUGACCACAAAGAACUUCUAAUCUGAUUAGGCACAUCUUCCUGCACCAGCAGGACAUCCAGAUAAGGGGUCCUGCACCUGCAAGAGCCCCGAGACAGGAAAAGUGAGAUGGCAUGCUUGUCUGGGACACUAUAGUCACCAUGCACCAAGCACCCUGCAGGAGCUCUGGUGCUCCCAUCCCAGGUGCCAGCUUCCUAGACUGGACCCAGCCUGUAGAUCAUACCUGCUCCACCAACCUCCCCACAGUGUGAUGUUUCCCACAGAAUUCUCCUGAUCAUGGAUGCCCCGUCUCCAGAAAAAUAAACAAUCAAUCUUUUGGUUUUGUUUGGAGCCACUAAAACACUCCAGUCACACAUGACUUCAGCCACUGGAACCAAAUAUCGUGUGGAUAUCCAUCCUUCCUCAAAAAUAAAC